rnacentral:rRNA from 1 species
GACGAACGCUGGCGGCGUGCUUAACACAUGCAAGUCGAACGAAGUGGCGAACGGGUGAGUAAUAAGUGGGUAACCUGCCCUCCUUUUUGGGAUAAGCCUUGGAAACGGGGUCUAAUACCGAAUAAAGGGGGAUGGGCUCGCGGCCUAUCAGCUUGUUGGUGGGGUGAUGGCCUACCAAGGCGGUGACGGGUAGCCGGGCUGAGGGGGUGACCGCACACAUUAGGACUGAGAUACGGCCCAGAGUCCUACGGGAGGAAGCAGUGGGGGAUAUUGCACAAUGGAAGAAAGCCUGAUGCAGCGACGCCGCGUGGGGAAUGAAGGCUUUCGGGUUGUAAACCUCUUUCGCUAUCUAACGAGUAGGUGCAGAAGAAGCGCCGGCUAACGACGUGCCAGCAGCCGCGGUAAUAC